rnacentral:rRNA from 1 species
UUAAGCGACUAAGCGUACACGGUGGAUGCCCUGGCAGUCAGAGGCGAUGAAGGACGUGCUAAUCUGCGAAAAGCGUCGGUAAGGUGAUAUGAACCGUUAUAGCCGGCGAUGUCCGAAUGGGGAAACCCAGUGCAAUUCGUUGCACUAUCGUUAACUGAAUACAUAGGUUAACGAGGCGAACCGGGGGAACUGAAACAUCUAAGUACCCCGAGGAAAAGAAAUCAACCGAGAUUCCCCCAGUAGCGGCGAGCGAACGGGGAGCAGCCCAGAGUCUGAAUCAGCUUGUGUGUUAGUGGAACGGUCUGGAAAGUCCGACGGUACAGGGUGAUAGUCCCGUACACCAAAAUGCACAGGCUGUGAACUCGAAGAGUAGGGCGGGACACGUGGUAUCCUGUCUGAAUAUGGGGGGACCAUCCUCCAAGGCUAAAUACUCCUGACUGACCGAUAGUGAACCAGUACCGUGAGGGAAAGGCGAAAAGAACCCCGGCGAGGGGAGUGAAAAAGAACCUGAAACCGUGUACGUACAAGCAGUGGGAGCACCUUCGGGUGUGACUGCGUACCUUUUGUAUAAUGGGUCAGCGACUUAUAUUCUGUAGCAAGGUUAACCGUAUAGGGGAGCCGCAGGGAAACCGAGUCUUAACUGGGCGUUAAGUUGCAGGGUAUAGACCCGAAACCCGGUGAUCUAGCCAUGGGCAGGUUGAAGGUUGGGUAACACUAACUGGAGGACCGAACCGACUAAUGUUGAAAAAUUAGCGGAUGACUUGUGGCUGGGGGUGAAAGGCCAAUCAAACCGGGAGAUAGCUGGUUCUCCCCGAAAGCUAUUUAGGUAGCGCCUCGUGAACUCAUCUUCGGGGGUAGAGCACUGUUUCGGCUAGGGGUCAUCCCGACUUACCAACCCGAUGCAAACUACGAAUACCGAAGAAUGUUAUCACGGGAGACACACGGCGGGUGCUAACGUCCGUCGUGAAGAGGGAAACAACCCAGACCGCCAGCUAAGGUCCCAAAGUCAUGGUUAAGUGGGAAACGAUGUGGGAAGGCACAGACAGCCAGGAUGUUGGCUUAGAAGCAGCCAUCAUUUAAAGAAAGCGUAAUAGCUCACUGGUCAAGUCGGCCUGCGCGGAAGAUGUAACGGGGCUAAACCAUGCACCGAAGCUGCGGCAGCGACACUAUGUGUUGUUGGGUAGGGGAGCGUUCUGUAAGCCUGCGAAGGUGACCUGUGAGGGUUGCUGGAGGUAUCAGAAGUGCGAAUGCUGACAUAAGUAACGAUAAAGCGGGUGAAAAGCCCGCUCGCCGGAAGACCAAGGGUUCCUGUCCAACGUUAAUCGGGGCAGGGUGAGUCGACCCCUAAGGCGAGGCCGAAAGGCGUAGUCGAUGGGAAACAGGUUAAUAUUCCUGUACUUGGUGUUACUGCGAAGGGGGGACGGAGAAGGCUAUGUUAGCCGGGCGACGGUUGUCCCGGUUUAAGCAUGUAGGCUGAUUGUCCAGGCAAAUCCGGAUAAUCAAGGCUGAGGUGUGAUGACGAGGCACUACGGUGCUGAAGUAACAAAUGCCCUGCUUCCAGGAAAAGCCUCUAAGCAUCAGGUAACAUCAAAUCGUACCCCAAACCGACACAGGUGGUCAGGUAGAGAAUACCAAGGCGCUUGAGAGAACUCGGGUGAAGGAACUAGGCAAAAUGGUGCCGUAACUUCGGGAGAAGGCACGCUGGUGUGUAGGUGAAGUCCCUGCGGAUGGAGCUGAGACCAGUCGAAGAUACCAGCUGGCUGCAACUGUUUAUUAAAAACACAGCACUGUGCAAACACGAAAGUGGACGUAUACGGUGUGACGCCUGCCCGGUGCCGGAAGGUUAAUUGAUGGGGUUAUCCGUAAGGAGAAGCUCUUGAUCGAAGCCCCGGUAAACGGCGGCCGUAACUAUAACGGUCCUAAGGUAGCGAAAUUCCUUGUCGGGUAAGUUCCGACCUGCACGAAUGGCGUAAUGAUGGCCAGGCUGUCUCCACCCGAGACUCAGUGAAAUUGAACUCGCUGUGAAGAUGCAGUGUACCCGCGGCAAGACGGAAAGACCCCGUGAACCUUUACUAUAGCUUGACACUGAACAUUGAGCCUUGAUGUGUAGGAUAGGUGGGAGGCUUUGAAGCGUGGACGCCAGUCUGCGUGGAGCCAACCUUGAAAUACCACCCUUUAAUGUUUGAUGUUCUAACGUUGGCCCCUGACCGGGGUUGCGGACAGUGUCUGGUGGGUAGUUUGACUGGGGCGGUCUCCUCCCAAAGCGUAACGGAGGAGCACGAAGGUUAGCUAAUCCUGGUCGGACAUCAGGAGGUUAGUGCAAUGGCAUAAGCUAGCUUGACUGCGAGCGUGACGGCGCGAGCAGGUGCGAAAGCAGGUCAUAGUGAUCCGGUGGUUCUGAAUGGAAGGGCCAUCGCUCAACGGAUAAAAGGUACUCCGGGGAUAACAGGCUGAUACCGCCCAAGAGUUCAUAUCGACGGCGGUGUUUGGCACCUCGAUGUCGGCUCAUCACAUCCUGGGGCUGAAGUAGGUCCCAAGGGUAUGGCUGUUCGCCAUUUAAAGUGGUACGCGAGCUGGGUUUAGAACGUCGUGAGACAGUUCGGUCCCUAUCUGCCGUGGGCGCUGGAGAAUUGAGGGGGGCUGCUCCUAGUACGAGAGGACCGGAGUGGACGCAUCACUGGUGUUCGGGUUGUCAUGCCAAUGGCACUGCCCGGUAGCUAAAUGCGGAAGAGAUAAGUGCUGAAAGCAUCUAAGCACGAAACUUGCCCCGAGAUGAGUUCUCCCUGAGACUUUAAGUCUCCUGAAGGAACGUUGAAGACGACGACGUUGAUAGGCCGGGUGUGUAAGCGCAGCGAUGCGUUGAGCUAACCGGUACUAAUGAACCGUGAGGCUUAACCUU